ACGUGAGUUACAUGCCCUGCAGUGGGGGAUAGCCCGGGGAAACUCGGAUUAAUACCCCAUGGUACCGCAAGGUUAAAGAUGGCUUCGGCUAUCGCUGCAGGAUUGGCUCGCGGCCUAUCAGCUUGUUGGUGAGGUAACGGCUCACCAAGGCAACGACGGGUAGCUGGUCUGAGAGGACGAUCAGUCACACUGGAACUGAGACACGGUCCAGACACCUACGGGUGGCAGCAGUCGAGAAUCAUUCACAAUGGGGGCAACCCUGAUGGUGCAACGCCGCGUGGAGGAUGACGGUCUUCGGAU
rnacentral:rRNA from 1 species